UACGGAGGGGGCUAGCGUUGUUCGGAAUUACUGGGCGUAAAGCGCACGUAGGCGGACCAUCAAGUUGGGGGUGAAAUCCCGGGGCUCAACCCCGGAACUGCCUCCAAAACUGGCGGUCUGGAGUCCGAGAGAGGUGAGUGGAAUUCCGAGUGUAGAGGUGAAAUUCGUAGAUAUUCGGAGGAACACCAGUGGCGAAGGCGGCUCACUGGCUCGGUACUGACGCUGAGGUGCGAAAGCGUGGGGAGCAAACAGGAUUAGAUACCCCGGUAGUCCCUGAGCGGGCU
rnacentral:rRNA from 1 species